rnacentral:rRNA from 1 species
UACGUAGGGUGCGAGCGUUAAUCGGAAUUACUGGGCGUAAAGUGUGCGCAGGCGGCCGAGCAAGUCGAGUGUGAAAGCCCCGAGCUUAACUUGGGAACUGCGCUCGAAACUACUUGGCUGGAGUGUGGCAGAGGAAGGUGGAAUUCCACGUGUAGCGGUGAAAUGCGUAGAGAUGUGGAGGAACACCGGUGGCGAAGGCGGCCACCUGGACGGUAACUGACGCUGAGGCGCGAAAGCGUGGGUAGCAAACAGG